GCUUUGUUGAGCUUUUUUGUCACUUGCAGAGAGAGAGAGAUAGAGGAUAAGGAGAAAAGAGAGAGCUCAACCCUAAUUCCUUUUGUCGCCACUUCUCCAUCGGCGCCGCCGAAACCAUCUCAUCCUCUGAUAGAGCUUAUGAUCUUGGGUUUGUUGUUUAGUUCUGGCUGGAAUCCGAGUCGAUCGUUUCACAACUACUAUGGCGUCUUCUAGGGUUUCAUAAAAAGUCCAAAUCAAGCAAAUCCAUUUGGUCCAUCACUAAAGGUCAACUCUCCAACCUCAACUGACUAUGUUCUUUUGAGUAUUGUAGAAUGACCAUGUUUCGCUCCUUCAAAUUAAUCACUUCGGUCAGAUCUGCAACGAUGAGCUUUUCUCUGUCUCUAAUUUGUCAACAAACGAUGAUGUAGUGAAGUUUCUUUAGAGAUGGUUCUGGCUGGAAGCCGAGUCCAUCGGAGAUAAUGGAUGCUCUCGGGUUUCUGAAGGUUUUAUGAUCUCUGCUGUGUGUACUGCUGGGUGAAGGUAUACUGACUGAGGCAGGAGAAACAACUUUUUAAAAAAGGUUACAGUGCUAAGUGGCACAAAUGGUAUAUUUAGUGUGAUUUUCAUAUGAUUAUUUAGCUAGAUUGGUUAUGAAUUUUGGUAGUAGUGAAUCAUGUAGUUAUAUGGGGACAAUGGGGUUGCUCCAGAUUGAUUUUACAUGGACUGACAAGUGUUUUCUAAUAUGUUACUGAUGGUUUUUUUGUCCAAUGAAGAAGCUGAAAAUAUCAAGAAAAUGUUUUUUUAAAAGAUGGUGUUGUAACAACUGAAAUACUAAAAGGUGGACUACAAAAGUUUAAUUCACGUUGUCGAGUCUGUGCUUAUUGAAGGUUUAAGUGUGACCAGCGUUUUCUUUUGCUAUCCAACAAGAUUUUAUUAAACGUUGUCGAGUCUGUGCUUAUUGAUUUAUUUUUUGUUAACCUAUCGUUAUUUCAGAUGUGUUCUAUACACACUUUCGGAAUAUCAUAGCCAUAUAUCUCGACCGCCUGCAGGGGUCAAACAACAGGCACGAAAACCAUAACCCUCGUGGAGCUAUUUGUGGUACCCGAGGAAAAUCCACGGUCAUCCUAAUCUUAUCCUGAUCUGAUACUUCAUCGCUUUUGGAUUACUUAUCAAAUUUCGGGACGAAAUUUCUUUCAAGUUGGGGAUGAUGU
rnacentral:lncRNA from 1 species